rnacentral:rRNA from 1 species
UACGUAGGGGGCAAGCGUUGUCCGGAAUCAUUGGGCGUAAAGAGCGUGUAGGCGGUUCGGUAAGUCGGCUGUGAAAGUCCAGGGCUCAACCCUCGAAUGCCGGUGGAUACUGUCGGGCUAGAGUGCGGAAGAGGCGAGUGGAAUUCCUGGUGUAGCGGUGAAAUGCGCAGAUAUCAGGAGGAACACCGAUUGCGAAGGCAGCUCGCUGGGACGUAACUGACGCUGAGACGCGAAAGCGUGGGGAGCAAACAGG